rnacentral:rRNA from 1 species
UGGUGGAGUGAUUUGUCUGGUUAAUUCCGUUAACGAACGAGACCUCGACCUGCUAAAUAGUUAGGCAUAUUCUCGGAUAUGUGAUUUUCUAACUUCUUAGAGGGACUAUUGGCGUGUAGCCAAUGGAAGUUCGAGGCAAUAACA